AAGUUAUCAAGUAGGUACCUGCUUACAUGUAUUUUUUACAGGUGCAUAAUUUAAAUAAGCAUCGCCUAAUAAGAUGUGUACUAUAUAAUAAAGAAUGUAAAAGUUCCAAACUUACGUGGUCGACGACAAGACGUACUCGUAUCAAGACAUACUCUUUUGUUACGGUAAAUUGUGAUAUUUGAAAAGCAUUGCCUAAUCAAUAGCUUAGUUGUAACUUCUCUACGUUUUAAAUUGUAUUCAAAUAUCAUUUUCAUACUUUUACCAUGUAUAUUCAGCAUAACAACAUACCACCGCAUUGUUCUCUCAAAAUUAAUACAAAAUUUCUUAGAAACGCACAAUACUAAAGAAUUUUGUGGCCAUUGCAAUUUUCCGCAACGGUCAUCAGUUUUCACUGGUUGAAUUUCGUAAGAUGCAAUCUCAUAUUUAUGUAACCCUAAUAUAGUCACUAUAUCCUGAAUCCCUUUCCUUUUUGAUUGAUAUUUAGAUAAAAAUUUCACAUAAUUAAAUUGCGCGACUGAACUGUUUGUGAAAUUAACACGAUUUGUGGAUAACCGCAUAUUUCCUUACACCAACUUUUAUUCUAGGUCACGUAUUCACGACACUUGCCACUCAUUAUCUAUACUGAAGCAAAAUGAUUCGUUAAGAUAACAAUUAGACGCUGUAGGUAGUUAUAUUUAGUAAUAAAAGAUAAUAUUCUUAUCA